rnacentral:rRNA from 1 species
GUAGGGGGCAAGCGUUGUCCGGAUUUAUUGGGCGUAAAGAGCGUGUAGGCGGCCAUGCAGGUCCGUUGUGAAAACUGGAGGCUUAACCUCCAGACGUCGAUGGAAACCGCAUGGCUAGAGUCCGGAAGAGGAGAGUGGAAUUCCCGGUGUAGCGGUGAAAUGCGCAGAUAUCGGGAAGAACACCCGUGGCGAAGGCGGCUCUCUGGGACGGUACUGACGCUGAGACGCGAAAGCGUGGGGAGCGAACAGGAUUAGAUACCCUGGUAGUCCACGCCGUAAACGAUGGGUGCUAGGUGUGGGAGGUGUCGACUCCUUCCGUGCCGCAGCUAACGCAUUAAGCACCCCGCCUGGGGAGUACGGCCACAAGGCUA